rnacentral:tRNA from 1 species
GUCGCAUUGGCGCAAUGGUAGCGCGCAAGACUUCUACCUGGGUUGAAAUCUUGAGGCUGUGGGUUCGAGCCCCACAUGCGAUG